GGCCAGGUAGCUCAGUUGGUAGAGCACUGCACUGAAAAUGCAGGUGUCCGCGGUUCGAAUCCGCGCCUGGCCA
rnacentral:tRNA from 2 species